CCUCCGUGCCCAAACGCCGGCAUGUGCGAGGCAAACAGAGCGCGAUUGUUCCGAGCCUGGGAACGCGCGGAGGGGGCGCGGGGGCCGCCGCCCGCCGCCCCCCGCCCGGCCCCCGCUCAGCCGCGAUUGUGAUGGAAAUAGGCCUUUCCCCGCAUGCUGUUGAACUUGAUGUUGACUCCUUUUCUUUGGGGUUUCACAUCUCCUCGGCCACUUGUUUUGUGGGAAAAUUUUCUCCCGAGCUCCGGUGUGAAAUUAAUUAAUCGGGGCCUCUAGAUGGCAAUGGGACACAAAAGGGGACAGCCCGGGGAAACUCCGGCAAACUCACAAAAGACACCCCCGGGGUUUAGAGCCCUGGGCCGGUGGGACCGACUGCCCUGCCCUGCCCGGUGCCCGAGGUGGGCUCGGCCGAGCGGCUCCGCGGGGACCGGCACACCGGGCGAGGCGGACGUAACGGCGGCUCCCCCCAUCUUCUAUUUCAAAGGCAGCCCCGGGAUGCGGCCGGUUCUACCGGAGAGAUGCGGAGCAGGUGCGCGACGUGCAGUUAGUGGCGUUACCGGUAACGGUGGGAAGUUACCGGGCUGGCGGGGAGCGGCACACCGCGGCAUCCCUCGGGGCGAUGGGAGAGAGGGGCCGGCAUCGGCCGGGAUACCCAGGCUGCGGUUCUCCGGUGGGAACCGGGGCUCCUGAGCCGAGCCCAUCUGUGCUGCCUCCCGCCGAGGAGACCGGCGGUUCCUACGGCGAGCGCCGUGCUAGCACCGGAGCCCAACAUGGCUGCUGUAGUGAAGAGGAGAAAUCCCUGUGUUGCUUUGACCUCUGUGGUCCAGCGGCAUCCCUCACUGGGAACAGGGAUGGGGAGCAGCCAGGCCAGCGUGGGCCAAGCCCUGCAGCACCCUCACCCUGGACAUCAAAGGGGUGCCACUGACUGGGCUCCCCUGCCUCUGGGAGCCACCAAGCCAGGCUAAUGCUGCUCGCAGCACCCGUUUGCAGCGGCAAAGACAUACGUGACUGGUGGAGAUGGGCUGGUUUCAUACAUCCCUGCCCAGCAAGCACAGCGCCUGUGGAACCAGGCAAGGGAAGUGAGCUCCGUUGCCCUGACAAUGCUUGGCACCGCUUCACCUCUCCUCUAUGGGGCACCCCACAGAUGGGGCACCGGGACCCCCAAAAGCAACCACCAGCAGCAAGGACAUGAGUGAAGAGCAGCGAGCCAUGAGGGUCAGCGGGAGACCUGGCACAAAGCGUGGCUCUUGGUGCUGUGAGUGGAUGCUGUGGGGUCUGGCUGACUCGGAGAGGCUGCAGAAAGGCCAAGGCUCUGUUGGAAGCAUGGGCAGGAUCCGUGCGGUGCCCUUCCCAUGCCCAGGGUAAGGGUUGGCUCCCUCCUUUCCCAUAUAACCAGCCCCAAGGCUGGAGCCAGAUGUGCCCAGCGGGUCCCCUGCCCCACUGCCAAACGGGGGGCAUGGACCACAGGAUGACACCUCAGGAAGCUGGAAGGACACAGAGCUGUUGCCGCCAAGCCCAAGGCAUGGGGAGAAUGAGGUCUGCAGCCCAAGGAAAGGAGGAAAAGCUCCUGUGCAUUAAAGGUGUUGCAAGCCCCCGG